UACGUAGGGCGCAAGCGUUGUCCGGAAUUAUUGGGCGUAAAGAGCUCGUAGGCGGCUUGUCACGUCGAUUGUGAAAGCCCGAGGCUUAACCUCGGGUCUGCAGUCGAUACGGGCUAGCUAGAGUGCGGUAGGGGAGAUCGGAAUUCCUGGUGUAGCGGUGAAAUGCGCAGAUAUCAGGAGGAACACCGGUGGCGAAGGCGGGUCUCUGGGCAACAACUGACGCUGAGGAGCGAAAGCGUGGGGAGCGAACAGG
rnacentral:rRNA from 1 species